UACGUAGGGUGCAAGCGUUAAUCGGAAUUACUGGGCGUAAAGCGUGCGCAGGCGGUUGUGCAAGACAGAUGUGAAAUCCCCGGGCUCAACCUGGGAACUGCAUUUGUGACUGCACGGCUGGAGUGCGGCAGAGGGGGAUGGAAUUCCGCGUGUAGCAGUGAAAUGCGUAGAUAUGCGGAGGAACACCGAUGGCGAAGGCAAUCCCCUGGGCCUGCACUGACGCUGAGGAGCGAAAGCAUGGGGAGCGAACAGG
rnacentral:rRNA from 1 species